AAGAAGUAGAGGAGAUUAAAGAUGAAGUCUCCAUUGUCACUUCAAUAGCCAGCAUUUGUGGACUGCCUAUUUCUUUCUCCUUCUUACCUUUUUCUUCUUUUCCUCCUUUUCCUUUCCC
rnacentral:ribozyme from 12 species